GUCUACGGCCAUACCACCCUGAAUGCACCAGAUCUUUUCUGAUCUCGUGAAGCUAAGCAGGGUCGGGCCUGGUUAGUACUUGGAUGGGAAAAGAAAGCUGCCUUCAGGCACUGGUGACU
rnacentral:rRNA from 1 species